UGAGUUGAAACUGUGUGUACAUCCUAAUUCUAUUAAUAUAAAAACAUAUUCAUUUAGUCGAGGAGACUUAAUAAGUGAUAUAGUAACAGUAGUGAAGCAACUGUUCAAAAUAUCUGAUACUACUGAAUGUAGAAUAUGGGAACGUGACUUCACAGGCAAAUAUACAAUAUUAACUGAUUUUCAACAAACAGUAUCUCUUGCUGGUUUAUAUGGAGGACAAAUGUUAAUGCUUGAAAAGAGAAAUCCUGAUGAAACUUGGCCAAGAGAUUAAACUAAAUAAAUUUACAUUUUUGUAGCUACAUUGAGUAUGAUAGUAGAGCUGAACUUAGUCUAUAUAAAUUAUUAUUAUUUCCCAUGGUACUUAGCUGUUAAAAUUACUGGCUGUAGACUUUAUAUAAAUCUAAA